rnacentral:rRNA from 1 species
UCUUCCCUCUGGCGGCGUGCCUAAUAUAUGCAAGUCGAGCGAACAGACGAGGAGCUUGCUCCUCUGACGUUAGCGGCGGACGGGCGAGUAACACGUGGAUAACCUACCUAUAAGACUGGGAUAACUUCGGGAAACCGGAGCUAAUACCGGAUAAUAUAUUGAACCGCAUGGUUCAAUAGUGAAAGACGGUUUUGCUGUCACUUAUAGAUGGAUCCGCGCCGCAUUAGCUAGUUGGUAAGGUAACGGCUUACCAAGGCAACGAUGCGUAGCCGACCUGAGGGGGUGAUCGGCCACACUGGAACUGAGACACGGUCCAGACUCCUACGGGAGGCAGCAGUAGGGAAUCUUCCGCAAUGGGCGAAAGCCUGACGGAGCAACGCCGCGUGAGUGAUGAAGGUCUUCGGAUCGUAAAACUCUGUUAUUAGGGAAGAACAAAUGUGUAAGUAACUAUGCACGUCUUGACGGUACCUAAUCAGAAAGCCACGGCUAACUACGUG